rnacentral:rRNA from 1 species
UUUUUUUGUCUUACCUUUUGUAUCAGGGUUUAUCAAAUAUAUGUUAACUAGAAGUUAACUUUCCCGAAAUUAGAAGAGAUAUAUUUUAAUGGAAGUUUACGUUAUAAAGUAAUUUUGAAUUAAAAUAUAGAGGUUAUAUGCUAUUCAAUUUUAAAUAUCUGGUUAUCUAAUAGAUUAAUUUAAUUAAGGACAUUAGUUAUAGUUGUUUUAAAAUUUAAUUUUUUGCAAUUCUAUUGUCUAAAAU